rnacentral:miRNA from 1 species
GUCAAUAAUAGCAUUCACCUGCAGAUGCACCUGCACCUUGUUCUUGUUUAUGUUACAUUGCAGGGAAUAAACCAAGCAAAGUGCAGCUGCAAAUGCAGAUAAAGGCGAUAUAUUGGC